AGCUCAAGUGAUCCUCCCUCCUUGGCCUCCGACAGUGCUGGGAUUAAAGGCUUGAGCCAUUACUCCCAGCCUGGAAUUCUCUGUACUUUCUGCUCAGUUUUUCUGCGUUCUUUUCAAACUUUUUUUUAAUUUAAAAAAUAUUUUGGCCAGACCCGGUGGCUCACACCUGUAAUCCCAGCAGUUCAGGAGGCCAAGGCAGGUGGAUCAUCUGAGGUCAGGAGUUCAAGACCAGCCUGGCCAACAUGGUGAAACGCCAUCUCUACUAAAAAUACAAAAAUUAGCCAGGUAUGGUUGUGCAUGCCUGUAAUUCCAGUUACUUGGAAGGCUGAGGCAGGAGAACUGCUUAAACCCAGGAGGUGGAGGUUGCAUUGAGCUGAGAUCGUGCCACUGCCCUGCAGCCUGGGUGAUAGAGUGAGACUCCAUCUCUAAAAUAAAAUAAGAUAAAAUAAAAAAAAAAUAAAAUCGGCCAGGCGCAGUGGCUCACGCCUGCAAUCUCAGCACUUUGGGAGGUUGAGGCUGGCAGAUCAUGAGGUCAAGAGAUUGAGACCAUCCUGGCCAACAUAAUGAAACCCAGUCUCUACUAAAAAAAUACAAAAAUUAGCUGGGCGUGGUGGCAGGCACUUGUAGUUCCAGCUACUCGGGAGGCUGAGGCUGAAGAAUCACUUAAACCCUGGAGGCGGAGGUUGCAGUGAGCCAAGAUCGCGCCACUGCACUCCAGCCUGGCGACAGAACGAGACUCUGUUUCAAAAAUAAAAUAAAAUAAAAUAAUAAAUAUUUUGUACAGAUGGGGUCUCAUUAUGUUGGCCAGACUCAUCUGGAACUCCUGGCCUCAAGGCAUCCUCCUGCCUUGGCCUCCCAAAGUGAUGUGAUUACAGGCAUUAGCCGCCUUGCCCAGCUGGAGAUCAAAAGUUCUUAAUAGUCUUGGGUGAACAAGAGUAUUCUGUAUAGGAUAAUAGCUGGGCGCAGUGGCUCACGCCUGUAAUCCCAGCAUUUAGGGAGGCCGAGGUGGGUGGAUCACGAGGUCAGGAGUUUAAGACCAGCCUGGCCAAGAUGGUGAAACCCCGUCUCUACCAAAAAUACAAAAAUCAGCCAGGCGUGGUGGCGGGCGCCUGUAAUCCCAGCUACUUGGGAGGCUGAGGUAGAGAAUUGCUUGAACCUGGGAGGUGGAGGUUGCAGGGAGCCGAGAUUGUGCCACUGCACUCCAGCCUGGGCAACAGAGUGAGACUCCGUCUCAAAAAACAAAACAAAAAAAAAAAAGAAAAGAAAAGAAAAGAAAAAUACAGCUAAUAAAUGAGCUUGCUAACUCAGUAUCUCCAGGUUUUCCUUUCAGGACCAAUAUACAAAGAUUUGUGAUAUUUAGCAUUCAUUUAUCCAUAAAAUAGGUCAAACUUUAGGAAAGAAAUUUCUCUAUAAAUCUUUUCCAACAAAAAUCAUCUUUCUCUGUACUGUGGAGAAAGCAGCUUUCUUUCAGACUUCUCAGUUCAAUAUCUGAAACCUUUAGUGAGUUGCCUACAUGUCUAGGACAUAUGUCAUAUACUACAAAGGGUACCAAAGUGAGGACUCAGUCCCUGCCUGCCUUUAUAGGACUUAAGAGUGUUGGAGGGGUCAAAUAUGUAUGACAAAGUAUGUGAAAGAUUCUUUAAAAGAAAUAAAAUGUGAUGGAGAUCAGAACAGGAACAAGUUAGCUUCAGUGGGGAAAUCUCUAAAGCUUCAUGGAGGCUAUGUCUUAAAUGUGAAUAGAAUUGUCAUAAGCAGUGAUGAGUGAAGGCCUUAGGGAAAGAUAUAGAAGGUGGAUGGUGUACGACGUUUGAGAAAGGACAUGUAAUUUGGUUGACUGGAGGGCUGGGAGGUGAAUCUAAUGGGAGAGAAGUUCAGAAAAGCAGGUUGAGAACAGUCUUGGAAUGCCAUGCUAAGAAGUUUGGGCUUUAUCCUGGAGGCAGGGUGGAGCAUACAAUAUGUGUUUCUGGAA
rnacentral:lncRNA from 1 species